AUGGCUCUUCUCGUCUUCCUCCUCCUGUUCGGCCAAAUCCUACUCUGCACAGGCGCCGACACCAUCAACUCCACCACACCGCUGUCCGGCUCACAGAAGAUUGUGUCACAGGGCAGCAAGUUCACCUUGGGCUUCUACUCCCCACCCAAACCGCAAAGUAAGACCAUCUCUUCCACCUCUGACGAUUACUACUACAUAGGCAUAUGGUACAGCACUGUACCACUGUUGACCCCUGUGUGGACGGCAACUGCCGACAUGCUGGUGUCUGCCCCAACCGCCGCUUCCUUGGAAAUUGCCAAGGACGGCAACCUUGUCCUCCGUGAUCAGACCAGGAACCGGCAGAUAUGGUCGACCAACGUGAGCAUAUCCUCCAACUCCACCAUGGCCAUCAUCAGGGACAGCGGUAGCCUCGAGCUCACCGAUGCUUCCAAUCCAUCCAUUGUUUAUUGGCAAAGCAUAGACCAUCCCACAGACACCUGGCUUCCGGGGGCCAAGCUUGGACUGAACAAGAUCACUGGUGUGAGCAACAGGCUUGUUUCUUGGAAGAACAGCGCAGACCCAUCUCCUGGGCUGUUCUCUCUGGAGCUAGACCCAAACGGCACAACACAACUUUUCAUCCGGUGGAACGAAUCCGUAAACUACUGGACCAGUGGCCCCUGGAACGGCAAAUACUUCACCCUGAUGCCAGAGGCUGCCAAGAACAUAUACCGCUUCCAAUUCAUCAACAACGCCACAGAAAGCUACCUCUCCUACUCGAUGGAGGAGGAUUCAUUAGUCUCGCGGUUCAUCAUUGACGUGACUGGACAGACCAAGCAGCUGAUAUGGAUGGAUUCCAAACAACAGUGGAUUUUGGUCUGGGCCCAGCCACAGCCAUGGUGCGACGUGUAUGCGCUUUGUGGAGCAUACGGCAGCUGCACCAACCCCCUCAAUGCGAGUGACACGUACUGCAACUGUGUCAAGGGGUUCAGCCAGAAGGUUCAGAGUGACUGGGACCUCCAAGAUUACAGUGGUGGAUGCAAGAGGAAUGCACCAUUGUUCUGCGAGACCAACUCGAGCUCCGCGCACACUCAGUCUGAUAAGUUCUAUGUCAUGACAGAUGUGAGGCUACCUGAUAAUGCUCGGGGUGCAGUUGCCAAAAGCUCUCAAGAAUGUCAGGUGGCUUGUCUGAAUAAUUGCUCUUGCACUGCUUACGCUUACAAUCCCGCCGGGUGCGUUGUUUGGCAUGAGGACCUGAUUAACCUCCAAGAGCAAUACAGCGGAGAAGGAGGUGGCACACUCCUGCUCAGGCUUGCAGCAUCCGAGCUGCCAGAUCAACAAAGGACAUCCGAGCUGCCAGAUCAACAAAGGACGAAAACAAGGAUCAGUGGUUCAGUUGUUGGUGGAGUUGCUGCAGUUUUGAUAAUUCUUGCGAUUAUGUCGUUCUUCCUAUUUCAGAAGUGCCGCCGAGACAGAACUCUUCGGAUAUCCGAGAAUGCUGGAGCUGCACCGACUGACUUCAGGUACACUGAUCUGUUGGAUGAUAUUCGAAGCAUCGAUUCACUUCUUCUCGAUCUAUCAACACUAAGAGCGGCAACAAAUGACUUUGGCGAAGGAAAUAUGCUUGGUAAAGGAGGUUUUGGGAUGGUUCAUAAGGGAGUCCUACCUGACGGUAAACAAAUAGCAGUAAAAAGACUAUGUCAAAGUUCCACACAAGGAAUAGGGGAACUGAAAAGCGAACUUGUCCUGGUCGCUAAGCUUCGCCACAGGAAUCUUGUGAGCCUCAUUGGUGUUUGUUUGGAAGAACAAGAGAAAAUACUUGUGUACGAAUUUAUGCCCAACAGAAGCCUUGACACCAUUCUUUUUGAUUCUGAGAAAUGCAGAGACCUAGAUUGGGAAAGGAGAUUCAAGAUUAUCAGUGGGGUUGCUAGGGGGUUACGGUAUCUCCAUGAAGAAUCUCAAUUGAAGAUAGUUCACCGUGACCUGAAAGCGAGCAAUAUCCUAUUGGACCUCGAUUACAACCCUAAGAUUUCUGACUUUGGCUUAGCGAAGAUAUUUGGAGGGGAUCAAUCAGAAGAUGUCACUAGGCGCAUCGCUGGGACAUACGGAUACAUGUCGCCCGAGUAUGCCAUGCAUGGUCAAUAUUCAGCGAAGUCGGACGCAUUCAGCUUCGGUGUUUUGGUUUUGGAGAUUGUCACAGGAAGAAGAAACAAUGGCUCCUGCAACUCGGAGCAAUAUGUCUAUCUCGUAAACCUUGUAUGGGAGUACUGGACCAGGGGAAAGGUCAUCGAGUUGAUCGAUCCAUCCCUUAGCGACCAUCCCUCUCACGUUGACCAGGUGCUGAAGUGCAUCCAGAUCGGUCUGCUGUGUGUGCAGAACAGGCCUGAAGAUAGGCCAACGAUGUCAUCGGUGAAUGUUAUGCUUAGCAGCCAGAGUGCUCGCCUCCCUUCUGUUUCCAUGCCAGCCUUCUCCGACGGAUUGAGUGGACGCAGUGAUAAUAAUUCAGAAGCGGCGUCCUCAAAUGGAAUGACCAUCACAAAGCUUGAGCCAAGAUGA
rnacentral:rRNA from 1 species